AUCAUUAUUGUAUAACAGAGGUGCCGGGGCUGUCGCCGACUUUGUGCACGCCCCGGUGCUCUCUCACAAUCCAUCUCACCCCCUUUGUGCAUCACCGCGUGGGCGGCUCUCCUUUUGGUUCAUUCUGAAAAGGGGGCGUUUGCGUUUUUAUACAGACCACCGCAUGUGUAGAAUGUCUUACUAUUUGCGAUAACACGCAAUCAAUACAACUUUCAACAACGGAUCUCUUGGCUCUCGCAUCGAUGAAGAACGCAGCGAAAUGCGAUACGUAAUGUGAAUUGCAGAAUUCAGUGAAUCAUCGAAUCUUUGAACGCACCUUGCGCCCCUUGGAAUUCCGAGGGGCACACCCGUUUGAGUGUCGUGAACAUCCUUCAACCUUUCUUGGUUUCUUGACCGGGGAAGGCUUGGACUUUGGGGGUUUUUCAUUGCUGGCCUCCCUUGAAGCCAGCUCCUCCUAAAUGGAUUAGUGGGGUCUGCUUUGCCGAUCCUUGACGUGAUAAGAUGUUUCUACGUCUUGGGUUUCGCACUGUCGCUUCAGACCCCGCUUCAAACAGUCUUGCAUCUAAGACAGAGUUUUAUAAACCUUGACCUCAAAUCGGGUGAGACUACCCGCUGAACUUAAGCAUAUCAAUAAGCGGAGGAAAAGAAACUAACAAGGAUUCCCCUAGUAACUGCGAGUGAAGCGGGAAAAGCUCAAAU
rnacentral:rRNA from 1 species